rnacentral:rRNA from 1 species
AACGAACGCUGGUGGCGUGUUUUAUACAUGCAAGUCGAGCGAGGACGGUAGCAAUACCGAGCCGAGCGGCGAACGGGUGAGUAACGCGUAAGCAAUCUGCCCCACAAUCGGGAACAACCGUGCCAACGCGCGGCUAAUGCCGGAUAUUGUAGUCUACUGCAUAGUAGGCCAACGAAAGAUUUAUUGUUGUGGGAUGAGCUUGCGUCCGAUUAGCUAGUUGGCGGGGUAAUAGCCCACCAAGGCGACGAUCGGUAGCCGGCCUGAGAGGGUGAUCGGCCACAUUGGGACUGAGAUACGGCCCAGACUCCUACGGGAGGCAGCAGUAGGGAAUAUUGCGCAAUGGGGGGAACCCUGACGCAGCAACGCCACGUGAAGGACGAAGGCGCUCAGCGUUGUAAACUUCUUUUGGAUGGGAACAAUAACUCCGACUUGUCGGAACUUGAGGGUACCAUCAGAAUAAGCACCGGCUAACUCCGUGCCAGCAGCCGCGGUAAUGUAGU